UACAGAGGGGGCAAGCGUUGUUCGGAAUUACUGGGCGUAAAGGGCGCGUAGGCGGCCCGCUAAGUCGAACGUGAAAUCCCUGGGCUUAACCCAGGAACUGCGUCCGAUACUGGCAGGCUUGAAUCCGGGAGAGGGAUGCGGAAUUCCAGGUGUAGCGGUGAAAUGCGUAGAUAUCGUAAGGAAGACCAGUGGCGAAGGCGGGUCUCUGGACAGUUCCUGACGCUGAGGCACGAAGGCCAGGGGAGCAAACGGG
rnacentral:rRNA from 1 species